rnacentral:lncRNA from 1 species
UUGGGGACAGAUGAGGAAAACAGAAAACAACAGCGGGCUUGGUAAUAGGCUAAGAAUGAGAUACAGUGAAGCAGAAGUCACAGAGAAUAAUGUAAUAUAAUGAAAACUAUUUGAAAAACAUUGCGCUCCUGUUCUAGGGGCAUGGUAUAAGCUGUUGUCCCCAACGUGAUUAUUUCCACCAUCCCCCUGCAUGCCAGUUUUUGAAACGUGGAGAACUGGGGGGCAAAUGAUAACAUUGACGGAAACUGGGAAACCGAGAAGGAACACCAGUGAUAAGAAAGUGAACAGUGAAACAUUGUAAAGUGAGCCACAUCAUUGAGGAAUUUGCCUAUGAAAGAAAGAGCAAAGCCUAUGGCAGUGCGAGGGAAACAGGACAAGGGAGGGAAGUUUUCAGAACAAGGAUAUCUGAAAAUAGAAAGGAAAAAACUAGUGGGAAAAGGAACACAAUUAAAGGUGAAAAAGAGCAAUCCGUGCAGAAGGAAGAUAACUUACCUGGGAACCCAUCCCUGAGAGUUGACGUGCGUGGUCCCCCAAACCCAAACCAGAUCAAAACAAAAGACACAUGCUGGGAUAAGAUCCUGGAGCAGAACCACACAUUACCUGGUUGGCAAAGAGAACUGUUACUGGUGGUAGCGGGAGCACCACGAGACCCUGACAAAAAUAAGCAGUAUAAUUGUGAAAAAAUCUACUGUUGGGCAAUUGGGACAGUGGAUCAGUGGAAGGACACUGUGCUUCCCUAA